AAGUCGUAACAAGGUUUCCGUAGGUGAACCUGCGGAAGGAUCAUUAACACCAAUCAUUUUGUAUCCAAAAUCUUUUGGAUCACAAACCAACCCUGUACGAACCAUUUUUUAAUGUGCUGUCCCUUUCUUUUCUUGGCUCUCUUCUCUCUUUUGAGUUGGGGUCAAGCGAAGGAAGUGGUUGGAUCCUUCACUCCGGUGAAUCAUUCAGCCUAAUUUUUUCCACAAACGAUUCUGACUCUAACUGACUGAAAUCGUGGGCUUUGAGGUAGGGCUAGCCCCUCAUCUUCAAACCUACAAAAUCACUAAACGUGAAACAACUCUUAACAACGGAUAUCUUGGCUCUC
rnacentral:misc_RNA from 1 species